UACAGAGGAUGCAAGCGUUAUCCGGAAUGAUUGGGCGUAAAGCGUCUGUAGGUGGCUUUUAAGUCCGCCGUCAAAUCCCAGGGCUCAACCUCGAGACGUCGGCGGAAACCCUCUGGCUAGAGUCCGGAAGAGGAGAGUGGAAUUCCUGGUGUAGCGGUGAAAUGCGCAGAUAUCAGGAAGAACACCCGUGGCGAAGGCGGCUCUCUGGGACGGUACUGACGCUGAGACGCGAAAGCGUGGGGAGCAAACAGG
rnacentral:rRNA from 1 species